GACGAACGCUGGCGGCGUGCUUAACACAUGCAAGUCGAACGGAAAGGCCCUGCUCUUGUGGGGUGCUCGAUUGCCGAACGGGUGAGUAACACGCGAGUAUACUGCCCUUGACUUUGGGAUAACUCUAGGAAACUGGGGCUAAUACCGGAUAGGAGCUCCUGCUGCAUGGUGGUGAUUGGAAAGUUUCGGCGGUGGGGUAUGGACUCGCGGCUUCUGAGCUGGUUGGGCAAGUAGGUGCUUACCAAGGCUUUGAAGGGUAGCCGGCCUGGGAGGGUGGCCGGCCACAUUGGGCCUGAGAGACGGCCCAGACUCCUACGGGAGGCAGUAGUGGGGAAUAUUACACAGUGGGCGCACGCCUGAUACAGCGACGCCGCGUGCGGAAUGCCGGCCUUCGGGGUGUAAACAGCUUUCGCCUGUGACGAAGCGUGAGUGACGGUAAUGGGUAAAGAAGCACCGGCUAACUACGUG
rnacentral:rRNA from 1 species